rnacentral:misc_RNA from 1 species
GUUGAGGCUCUUGACGAUCUGCUGCGCCGUGGCCAAGACCCGAUCGUCAGCGCCGCCGCCUAGACUGGUGGUAGUAGUGGUGGCCAUUUCCUUUUAGUUAUCAAUUUUUAGGGUUUUUGGGGGUGUGCGAGAAGGGGAAUUGGGAGGCAAAUUUGGGGAUUGGGAUUGGAGUAGAUUAGAGAUUUUGUGGUGGCGAUGAUGGCGUUAAGGUCAUUUCUCUUUCAAUUUUCCUUUUUCUUUAAUUUUCUGGGAUUGAGUAAAGACAAGAGAAGUAGAAAAGAAAAGUAAAGAAGUGUUUGGCCGGCUGGGGUUGUGUUAAUGGUGUGAACCGUGAAAGGAGAGGGAGGGGGAAAGGUGAGGAGACAGGAAUGAAGAGUAACUACAGCUUCCAAGCCUUACUACGGCCUUUG